rnacentral:rRNA from 1 species
AAAACUACUCUCGGCAACGGAUAUCUCGGCUCUCGCAUCGAUGAAGAACGUAGCGAAAUGCGAUACUUGGUGUGAAUUGCAGAAUCCCGUGAACCAUCGAGUCUUUGAACGCAAGUUGCGCCCGAAGCCAUCCGGCCGAGGGCACGUCUGCCUGGGCGU